rnacentral:rRNA from 1 species
GACUGCCAGUGAUAAACUGGAGGAAGGUGGGGAUGACGUCAAGUCAUCAUGGCCCUUACGACCAGGGCUACACACGUGCUACAAUGGCGCAUACAAAGAGAAGCGACCUCGCGAGAGCAAGCGGACCUCAUAAAGUGCGUCGUAGUCCGGAUUGGAGUCUGCAACUCGACUCCAUGAAGUCGGAAUCGCUAGUAAUCGUGGAUCAGAAUGCCACGGUGAAUACGUUCCCGGGCCUUGUACACACCGCCCGUCACACCAUGGGAGUGGGUUGCAAAAGAAGUAGGUAGCUUAACCUUCGGGAGGGCGCUUACCACUUUGUGAUUCAUGACUGGGGUGAAGUCGUAACAAGGUAACCGUAGGGGAACCUGCGGUUGGAUCAC